GAGACUUUCGGAAAACUUAAACCCUGCAGCAGCUGCUUCCUGAUGGCUCCGCUCUGUAGUCUCCUACUGUAGAUCCACGCGUCCAGGUCUCUUGACACUCACUUGUCGCCAGCGCCCUCAAGGCUUUCCAACUCUCUUAAAUACAGUGAGUAGUGUCCCUGCAAGUUGGAAAGCUCUCAUCUUCUAAGAAAACAAGCAACAUUAUAUCACGACUCCUGGAUUCUCAUCAUCGAAGGAAAACAAAAACAACAAAUAAUUGAGAAGUUCAUAACCCGUCAGCAAAACAGACUUUGGGUGAGUAAAUCUUAUAUAACCAAUGGAAGCAAGUAUAACUUGUAAAGAUUUGAUGCAUUUGCAGAAUAACGUUCCGAAUCAAUAAGGCAAAUAAAUGUGUAAUAACAGGACUUUGAAAAUGA